GACGAACGCUGGCGGCGUGCCUAAUACAUGCAAGUAGAACGCAGUUGCGAACGGGUGAGUAACGCGUAGGUAACUGCCUCAUAGCGGGGGAUAACUUUUGGAAACUAUAGCUAAUACCGCAUACUGUGAGAUGGACCUGCGUCGUAUUAGCUAGUUGGUGGGGUAAAGGCUCACCAAGGCGACGAUACAUAGCCGACCUGAGAGGGUGAGAGGCCAGACGGGGACGGUGAAACGCCCCAGACUGCUACGGACGGCAGCAAUAGGGAAUCGUCGGCAAGCGACGGAGGUCUGACCGAGCAACGCCGAGUGAGUGAGGAGGGUUUUCGGGUCGUAAAGCUCUGUUGUUCGAGAAGCGGUAACUAAACAGAAAGGGACGGCUAACGACGUGCCAGCAGCCGCGGUAAUAC
rnacentral:rRNA from 1 species